CACCGCCAUUCAAUAUGAUCAUGGCUGAUCAUCCAACUCAGUAUCCCGUACCUGCCUUCUCUCCAUACCCCAUGAUCCCUUUAGCCACAAGGGCCACAUCUAACUCCCUCUUAAAUAUAGCCAAUGAACUGGCCUCAACUACCCUCUGUGGCAGAGAGUUACAGAGAUUCACCACUCUCUGUGUGAAAAAUGUUUUUCUCAAUGUUUCGGGUCAAGACCCUUCUUUUCAGACUGAAGAAGAGCCUCGACAUCAAACAUCACCCAUUGCUUCUCUCCAGAGUUGCUGCCCGUCCCGCUGAGUUAUUCCUGCUUUGUGUCCAUCUUCAAAUGACUUCACAUGCUCCAGACGGCUGUGCGUACGCAUGAAAUCGUGCGCGACCUUCGCGGGACCGUCUCGUCUCAACGCGACCACGAGGUCGCAUAAUUUGCGUGCCAAGGACACGUUAGUGGGACAGACCAUUAAGGCGACAGUAAAUGGAAACAGAAGAAGAGAAUAUUGCUUUAGGGACAACAGUUCAGACGGAAAAUGGGGGGAGAGAGAAUGGAACUUGCGGGCAGAGAUAGAACGAGGCAUCAGAAAGAGAAAGAAAGUGAGACCAGGAAGUCAGAGGGAAAGGAAAUGAAGAGCAUUUGUGUGUCUGAAACAUUGAGACUGGUAGAGAGGGAAAUAUAUAAGGGUCAGAGAGCAUGGAGCAUGAAAUAUAUACGGGUCAGAGAGCACGAGUGAAGGAAUAAAAAUCAACUAUCGUUGAUUAGUAAGAGUGUCAGGGGUUAUUGGGAGAAGGCAGGAGAGAUAGAUCAGCCAUGAUUGAAUGGCGGAGUAGACGGUGGGCCGAAUGGCCUAAUUUCGCUCCUAUUAGUUAGGACCUUAAAAAUAAAAAGUGAGGGAGACCAGAAAGAAUUGAUCACGAUCAUAAGGAAAAGGACCUUUGGCCCACUGAAUCUUUGCUGGCCGUCAAAUAGCCAUCUUCACUAAUCCCUUUUCCAGUCCUUGGUCAUGGCAUGGUGAUUCAAAUUCUGGUUCAGAUACCUAUUAAAUAUUGUGGGAGUACCACUAACUCAUUGGGAAAUGUGCUUCAGAUUCCCGCAACACCAAGGAACAAAUUGUUGACUUCAGGAAGGGGAAGUCAGGAAACAACGGGCCAGAUUAGUCGGUGGUGGAAAAUUAGUAGCUUCAAAUUCCUGGGGCAUUAACAUUUAGGAUGACCCGUCCUGGACCCAACACACAAAUGUAAACACGAAGAAGGUACACCAGUACUUUUUUUAGAUUCAGUCUAUCUCUGAAUACUCUAACAGACCCCUACAGAUGUACUAUAGAAAGUAUCAUAUCAGCCCUGGUUUCGCAAUUCCAAUGUAUAGGAAUCCAAGAGGCUGCAGAGAAUGGUGCACUCAGCCCAGUCUAUCACAGCACCCUUUCCUCAAUUGAAAACAUCUACAUGAGCCACUGUCUCAAAUAGGCAGCAUCUAUUAUCAGACGUUAUCAGGAGUUGCAGUAGCCUGAAGUCCCAUAAUAUCAGGAACAUCUACUUGAUGGUAUAGCUGAUGGAGCAUAUUCAUUCUUUGAGAAAGUGGGAUAUCAUAGAACUAGUGUAAAUGGGUAAUCAAUGCUCAGCAUGGGCUCAGUGAGCCACGGGGCCCGUUUCCUUGCUGUGUUUUUAAACAAAACUUUCAUUGAAACACAGGUAAAGAUCAACCUUUGCAGUUCAAUGGACUGUCAGAGCUCUCUAAUCAAGAGUCUGCUUGUUGCUGCAUCAGAGCAGAUUAUUGCUCUUUGAAAAGUAAACACCAAAUAUAUCUGAAAGUGUACAGGGACGUGCAAUCUUCAAGAACCAUUCUUUUGGUGAUGAACACCAUAGUGAACUGUUUUAUGUUAUUAAGUGAAAUGCAGUAACACUGAGCAGUCACGUUGAAGAAAGAGCACAUCAUCUCAUACUCUGGAGACAGCAGUGCUUCACCCCAGAGGAAAACAAAUGGUGCAUAGAAUUUUAAGAUGUAUCAAUUUAUCAAAAACAAUUGGUAAUGCAGCCCACAAGAAAAAAACAAAAUAACUUACAUCAGGCUAUAUCAAAGGAGACCUUCCAAAACACCAGUGGAUGCUUUCAACAAGGCAGUAAAACAAUAGACAAAGAAAGGAAAUAAAAUCCAGUAUUCCAAUGUGCAUCUAUUCCUUGGUUUCAUUGUAAAAUAUUUGG